rnacentral:rRNA from 1 species
GUUUGGGAACCCCUGCCCUAGACCACCCAAGACCAGUUACUCACUUAAGUUAAGCAGGGUUGAGCCUGGUCAGUACCUGGACAGGAGACCACACGGGAAAACUUUAUUGGUGUUGCAAGUG